UGGGGGAUAUUGCACAAUGGGCGAAAGCCUGAUGCAGCGACGCCGCGUGGGGGAUGAAGGCCUUCGGGUUGUAAACUUCUUUUGCUCUGAACAAGGCAUGCUAAUGGGUGUGUUGAGUGUAGGGGUUGAUUAGCGCCGGCUAACUACGUGCCAGCAGCCGCGGUAAUACGUAGGGCGCGAGCGUUGUCCGGAAUUAUUGGGCGUAAAGGGCUUGUAGGUGGCUGGUUGCGUCUGUCGUGAAAGCUCAUGGCUUAACUGUGGGUUUGCGGUGGGUACGGGCUGGCUUGAGUGCAGGAGGGGAGGGUGGAAUUCCUGGUGUAGCGGUGGAAUGCGCAGAUAUCAGGAGGAAUACCGGUGGCGAAGGCGGGUCUCUGGGCUGUUACUGACACUGAGGAGCGAAAGCAUGGGGAGCGAACAGG
rnacentral:rRNA from 1 species